rnacentral:tRNA from 1 species
GUAGACAUAGUUUAAUGAAAAUAUUAGUUUGUGGUUCUAAAGACAGGGGUUAAACCCCCCUUGUUCACC